UACGUAGGUGACAAGCGUUGUCCGGAUUUAUUGGGCGUAAAGAGCGUGUAGGCGGCCAGGUAGGUCUGGUGUGAAAACUCGAGGCUUAACCUCGAGAUGUCAUCGGAAACCAUCUGGCUAGAGUCCGGAAGAGGAGAGUGGAAUUCCUGGUGUAGCGGUGAAAUGCGCAGAUAUCAGGAAGAACACCAAUGGCGAAAGCAGCUCUCUGGGACGGUACUGACGCUGAGACGCGAAAGCGUGGGGAGCGAACAGG
rnacentral:rRNA from 1 species